rnacentral:tmRNA from 1 species
CCCUAUAUCUCUCUGUGCCGGCUUGCCCGGCUAUGGCGAUAAACGCGCGUGUAAUAAGCGGCUCGGACCCGGGGGCGGUACCCGGCGCCUCCACCAAGUGAACCGGUCAGGCCAAUCUGAUUGGCGGGUUCAGUUGAUGGGGGCGAAAUAGGAUCGACGGACGUGUAAAGACGUAGCUUUUGCCCCGAAUGGUUCCGCGGUUAUCGGGCCGUUGUAUAGGUGCCAACGACAAUGAAAUGGCCCUCGCUGCCUAAUAGGUAAGCGCAGCCCGGUGGGGAGCUGGGCAACAGAAUCCCCACCACCUUAUCUUCAUAAGUUGACUUAUGUCGCCUUUCCGCCGUUGAC